GAGCGGAUGAGAGGAGCUUGCUCCUGGAUUCAGCGGCGGACGGGUGAGUAAUGCCUAGGAAUCUGCCUGGUAGUGGGGGACAACGUUUCGAAAGGAACGCUAAUACCGCAUACGUCCUACGGGAGAAAGCAGGGGACCUUCGGGCCUUGCGCUAUCAGAUGAGCCUAGGUCGGAUUAGCUAGUUGGUGAGGUAAUGGCUCACCAAGGCGACGAUCCGUAACUGGUCUGAGAGGAUGAUCAGUCACACUGGAACUGAGACACGGUCCAGACUCCUACGGGAGGCAGCAGUGGGGAAUAUUGGACAAUGGGCGAAAGCCUGAUCCAGCCAUGCCGCGUGUGUGAAGAAGGUCUUCGGAUUGUAAAGCACUUUAAGUUGGGAGGAAGGGCAUUAACCUAAUACGUUAGUGUUUUGACGUUACCGACAGAAUAAGCACCGGCUAACUCUGUGCCAGCAGCCGCGGUAAUACAGGGGGUGCAAGCGUUAAUCGGAAUUACUGGGCGUAAAGCGCGCGUAGGUGGUUUGUUAAGUUGGAUGUGAAAUCCCCGGGCUCAACCUGGGAACUGCAUUCAAAACUGACUGACUAGAGUAUGGUAGAGGGUGGUGGAAUUUCCUGUGUAGCGGUGAAAUGCGUAGAUAUAGGAAGGAACACCAGUGGCGAAGGCGACCACCUGGACUAAUACUGACACUGAGGUGCGAAAGCGUGGGGAGCAAACAGGAUUAGAUACCCUGGUAGUCCACGCCGUAAACGAUGUCGACUUGGAGGUUGUUCCCUUGAGGAGUGGCUUCCGGAGCUAACGCGUUAAGUCGACCGCCUGGGGAGUACGGCCGCAAGGUUAAAACUCAAAUGAAUUGACGGGGGCCCGCACAAGCGGUGGAGCAUGUGGUUUAAUUCGAUGCAACGCGAAGAACCUUACCUACUCUUGACAUCCAGCGAACUUUCCAGAGAUGGAUUGGUGCCUUCGGGAACGCUGAGACAGGUGCUGCAUGGCUGUCGUCAGCUCGUGUUGUGAAAUGUU
rnacentral:rRNA from 1 species